UACGAAGGGGGCUAGCGUUGCUCGGAAUCACUGGGCGUAAAGCGCACGUAGGCGGCUUCUCAAGUCAGGGGCGAAAUCCUGGAGCUCAACUCCAGAACUGCCUUUGAUACUGAGAGGCUCGAGUCCGGGAGAGGUGAGUGGAACUGCGAGUGUAGAGGUGAAAUUCGUAGAUAUUCGCAAGAACACCAGUGGCGAAGGCGGCUCACUGGCCCGGUACUGACGCUGAGGUGCGAAAGCGUGGGGAGCAAACAGG
rnacentral:rRNA from 1 species